rnacentral:rRNA from 2 species
GAUGAACGCUGGCGGCGUGCUUAACACAUGCAAGUCGAACGAUGAUGCCAGCUUGCUGGUGGAUUAGUGGCGAACGGGUGAGUAACACGUGAGUAACCUGCCCUUAACUCUGGGAUAAGCCUGGGAAACUGGGUCUAAUACCGGAUAUGACUCCUCAUCGCAUGGUGGGGGGUGGAAAGCUUUAUUGUGGUUUUGGAUGGACUCGCGGCCUAUCAGCUUGUUGGUGAGGUAAUGGCUCACCAAGGCGACGACGGGUAGCCGGCCUGAGAGGGUGACCGGCCACACUGGGACUGAGACACGGCCCAGACUCCUACGGGAGGCAGCAGUGGGGAAUAUUGCACAAUGGGCGAAAGCCUGAUGCAGCGACGCCGCGUGAGGGAUGACGGCCUUCGGGUUGUAAACCUCUUUCAGUAGGGAAGAAGCGAAAGUGACGGUACCUGCAGAAGAAGCGCCGGCUAACUACGUGC